rnacentral:rRNA from 1 species
UACAGAGGGUGCAAGCGUUAAUCGGAAUUACUGGGCGUAAAGCGAGCGUAGUCGGUUAUUUAAGUCGGGUGUGAAAGCCCCGGGCUCAACCUGGGAAUUGCAUUCGAUACUGGAUAGCUAGAGUUCGGCAGAGGGAAGCGGAAUUUCCGGUGUAGCGGUGAAAUGCGUAGAUAUCGGAAGGAACGCCGGUGGCGAAAGACGCUACGACUGGACCUCUUCUGACGCUGAGGCGACGAAAGCCAGGGAGCAAACGGG